rfam:Triticum aestivum genome assembly, contig: Triticum_aestivum_CS42_TGACv1_scaffold_210716_3AS
GUACUACUCCCUCCGUUCCGAAUUACUUGUCUUAGAUUUGUCUAGAUACGGAUGUAUCUAGCACUAAAAUGAGUCUAGAUACAUCUGUAUCUAGACAAAUCCAAGACAAGUGAUUUAGAACGGAGGGAGUAGAAA